rnacentral:rRNA from 1 species
UGGUUGGAGCGCUAGGCAUUUGCCUUUGUUUUGGUGUCGGGGCGCGCUCAGGGGGCACCGGAGGGAGGGUAGAGGGGGGAGCAGUGCGGAGGCGCGGGCGCGUGCGUGGGCGGGGCAGCACUUUAAUGCGAAGCGGGGAGCGGGCGGCGCCCCUAGGCGCGGGGAGGGCCGGAGCGGGGCGGCGGUACCAGCUGUGGUCCGCGUCGAGGCGCCCCUUCGCGGCCCGGAGCAGCCUCCUCCGGAGCGGGGGCUGCGGGGGCGGGCGCCGCCGGAGCCGGAGCCCGCGCCCGCUGCCGCUGCGCCGCCCCCGCAGCCGCAGGCGCGGGCGCCGCCUCCGGCGGAGGGGCGGCGGGAGCGCCCCGGCGAGCCGGUUCGCCCGGUUCCGCGUCCCGUUCUGCUGCGCGCACCACAGUCCGGGGCACAAGCUCCGGCGGCGGUUCCGUCGCCCGGCGCGCUAGCUCUCGAGCGUCGACUCGCGCGGCCGGCGCCUCUCCAGGCGGCCCCGGCAGCGCCGCAGCAGGUGCCACAGCUUAAGCCCUCGAAGUCGCUCCUUCUUCUCCUGCGGGUCCGCAGACGGAGGCAGCCUGCUCUGCUGGCGCCUUCUCUACUGCGUCACCUUCUGCUCCGCGCCCCGCCGGUCAUCGGCCUGAGUACGGACCCGGUCUGACUAAAGGGUUAGAAGAGUCAUAGGGUGCCAAGGAUAAAUACGAAGGAUAAAGUGGCAACCGGUACCACCAUUUGUACUAAACUUUGACUGCCUGCGUAAUAGACCUAGUGAACAAACGUCUGACUCCGUACAAUCCUCCCCACGACGGGAACUCCAGAGAUAUAGGUUUCAACAGAUACAUUUACCCUUCCGGAAUCUGUUCAGACGAUUCCAGUGGAACUGACCUCCGCUGCUUCAACAAAAAUCAAGUGAACCCUUCGUACGAAUAUAUAAAGUCGGAGAAGGUCUCCUUUUUAGUUCGUGUAGUUAGGAAAGAAGGGGCUCAAAACAAGUCGUUCCCGUCGUAGGUCAAUACUUUCCGUGUAACCUAGUAAAUAGUAGAUUUUCCCGGUUCAAUAGUCACGGCAAAUUAAAACCAUCACCGACGAGAGGUAACCAAGGAGUACUAUGUCUCUAUCAGUCGUCAAAUACAUUUUGUUACCUCCUCGUCUUGGUCAAGAGAAGACUUCUUUUACACAGUAAACGAGUUGUAUUUGAAAAUUUUCUUCUAGACUUCUUCCGUGAAAAAUCACGUUCACUAUAUAGUCUCAGUAAACUAUCAAAAGGUAUAAUAGACUCACUCUUAUGGUUUUCAAGAGAGGACUGUGGUCGUGUACAUUUAAACACAACGUUCCUUCGGUACCUCACCUGUUUUUUUUAUAGAAAAUAAAGAGUUGCUCAUGAUAAUAGACCAGGUCGUCCCAGACUCUAUAUGGUUCUUUGUAACUACUUCCGAGAGUGGUUUGUGAAGCUACGAUCCGACGAGCAACAUCUAAGUAGUAACGACAGCUCACAUUCGGAGAAUUGGUACGGUACGAAUAAGAAGAACUUCACCUAACUACUAUAUAACUUGUCGCGGUGGUGUCGAGUAAAACUUGUUUGGUGUUGGUUAAGAUAACCUGUCAGAAGUUUCAGUUUCCUCAGUCUCGGCAUGUUUUUUCCACUAUCCCACGCUAUGUAACCAAGAAACGUCAGUUGUUCCAAAUAGGAGCUCCCUGUUUCUCGAGGUCUAAUACCAAGGGUCCCACUUCACGCUGAAGGAAAACUCCUUUUACCUAGGAGUUUUUAGCCUCAGUCAAAACUGUUUGGCUAAGGACCCCCGUAACUAGAUCCUCCGUUAACACUCCAACUAGUACCAAAGAAGACAAGUCAACUAAGAGACACGGAGCUACCAGGUCCUACCCUUCUAUCUCGAUUUGUAGGUAAACUACAUUAUAAACUCAAAGAAAGACUUCUUUCACGCGUACCUGGGGAAUAGGAUAAAAACUUCCUGCAACUCUUUCACACACCUUUGUGAAUGAGAAUAGUACCAGAUUUCUCGUUCGAGCUUUAAAAAGGUCGUCCACAAAAACAAUAACCCAGAGUCUGGGUCCGUCUGUCAGCCUUUCUAUUCGAUUUGCCCAGAGGAAAGGAAAGCUUCAAGGGUAUACCAGUUCGUCGUUAUGAGCUGGAACGCAAGGUCCUAUCGAAACCGGCCCACUUACUAUUUUGGUUUCUUCGUCGCUUCUGACGCUUCGUACAGUGAUUUGAAAAGGGGUCAUUUCACUGUUAUGUUGGUGGUGUCCUACUGAACCUUGAGAGUUUCACCUUUGUCGAUAACCUAGCACUAUAACUUUAAGACUUUCACUUCCGAUUGUAAAGUUUUCAGGUCAGAAAAGAUUGAGCGUUACCAGACCUUACACGACUACAUCUCUGGUGUCAUACACAAUUUCUAGCUUGAGAAUGUUUACUUACACAGCUAUUUUAUCAACCAAUACGAAACUCAGUAGUUCAAUACUUAAGGUGACAAGGUUGAGGACCUUUCCUACACAAUGAACGAGAAAGACCACUUUCGGAAGUCGUACCCCAACUAAACAGCCUUUCCUACGUUUUACUGGUAUUCUUUUUCUCGUGUUUCUUUAGUGAGUUCCUACAACGGUGCCUCUUACUUAAACUUUUCUCCGAAGAACCACUACAAUAGGGAGGUCUACUCUAUCCACAAAGGAAACUACUGUAACCUCGUGAUCUCUUACAGUUCCUUUGAAACUUCCUUAAUCACUACGAAGGUAACGUUUCCGGUCUCAACAAGAGGUUCCCUGUUGAAUACUUCGGUACAUUUCCUUAUAACGAAAAACCAGGUGGACCAUGCCCCUUCUGGUACGAACGAUUUCGACAACGUUGUCUCCGACCACGAUUGAAGUAGUUGUAUAGUUACAGUUCGUAACCGAGCUUCACCAAACCGCUCCCCCUUUUUAUACACUUUCGACACAAAAGUGAACGUUCGUUUUAACGAGGGUCACAGUAAAAACACCUACUCCAACUGCCGUACGACCCAUCUGCACUUUUGGGUCCCCUUGUACUUCGGUACGCAUUUUACUUUUUACUUAAAUACCACUUGACCCUACCAGACUCUUGUUUUCUGUUUCUUGCACAUAAUCAUGAACGACGGUGAUUAUCCGGCAAACUAGAACUACUCCGACAGUAAUCCUCCGAGGGUUCCUCCAACUACCACUUAAAUGGUCUGCGUUGGUUAUCCUUUUUCUAAUAAUCACAUUAUGAUCGGUUUCUUCUAAACCGUCUUCUACAUCUAGACCUUCGUCACCGAUCGAACUGACUCCCCAUAAGUCCGUCACUAGACUUCUUAGACACAUAAUGACGACGUGUAUCAGGGUAUUCCCUUUAGGAACUUUUUCUCUUCUUCCUCUCUAGGAACCGUCUUCGUCUUUUGUUUGGUAACGGAGGGUUCAUAAGAUCGUCACUACAGGCAGGGGAUUUAUACUCACUAGAGUUUGUCCGUGUGCUCGUCCACACACGUUCAUAUAGUAGACUAAGCUGUUUAUACUUGCUCGAACAAGUCACCUUGCUCGAAAUACCACUUCCGCCUAGAUCUUUCUUCUGUGGAGAUUCGAUGAAGUACAUCGAAUAAACAUCGGACAUGUAUCUCGUCUUCGUAAUCUCACUUCGCUGACUCUUCUAUCUAUUACUUAUCGAGACAACCAAGAAGUAAAUAUCCGUUAAAAAAACUCAGUUAACAAAACAUUACGGUCAAGCCUCAAAGCAAUUAACUACAAGGUCGGUCACACUUGGGUAAAUCCAGAACAUAUGUCACGUACCACGAAUCUUCUCCACGAAUAUCAUUUUAUUUGACUCAAAAAGAGUUCGUGAUCACGAACAGAGACAUUUCCCACGGAUUAAUUCGUAGAUGAGAAAUGUUUAUUUGUGGAACAUAACAUGUUCCGGAAUUAGUUCUGUACCUAGGCCAUACAAGGAGUCACU